UUGACCGGUUUUAGAACAGCCCAUACAGUCUACUCUCCGCCGGCAAGAAUUGUGAGGUGAGUUCCAGGAAUAUGGAAGAAGAGCUCGGGAGACAAAGAAACGACUGCGUUUUGAACGAGGACAAUGAUGAUGACCCGCCAAUGCUGAGCUCGUAUGCUUUAGCUGCUCUAACAGAGUUUCUUGAAGAACAGAACCAGUUCGAUGUUGACGAGCGCAGUGAAGAUACUGUGGGAGGAGAAACUGGAGAGCAAGUGGCCUUAGUAGCAGAGGAUUGGAGGCUUAGCCAGUUUUGGUAUGAUCCUUUAACUGCAGAAACCGUAGCCAAAGAGGUUAUUGCGUUACUAACGAACGGCACCAAUUCCAAUUGUCGUGCCGCUUGCAUCGCUUGCCCUACUCUCUAUGCCUAUAUCAAGAAAAUUGAACCAAAUGCUUCUGUGCAAUUGCUGGAAUAUGAUAAAAGAUUUGAGCAAUAUGGAAGUGAUUUCACCUUUUAUGAUUAUAAUCAACCUGAAGACUUGCCUAAUGAGUUGAAACAGGCUUUCCAAGUUGUAGUUGCCGAUCCUCCUUAUCUGAGUAAGGAGUGUUUGGAAAAGGUUUCUCAAACAAUUUCUUUUCUUGCAAGACCUGGAAAAUCCCAUUUGCUUCUACUCACAGGGGAGGUGCAGAAAGAUAGGGCUGCAGAGCUCUUAGGUUUGCAUCCAUGUGGUUUUAGGCCUCAACAUUCUAGCAAGCUUGGGAACGAGUUCAGACUAUUCACAAAUUAUGACCCUGAAAUGAGAUUGGGAGGGUGGGAACUGGAGAAGUAGGAGAUUUUCUUGCGGAUCUGAAUGAUUAUAGAUGGAGCCUUUCCUUUUCCAAUGAAUGGAUAAGUUGGAAGCAUCAAUGUGCUAUGGAUUCUUCCUGUAAUGUUGCAGCCUUAUAGCCUAAUAACCUGGGACGUGUGAAUUUCACAUGGCCUUCAACCUCAUAUUCAUAUAUGGCCAACUAAUUUCCCAGGCCUGCUCCAACUUCUAUGGUGGAUGGAAGUAUUUUGUGGCUUCUUCAAGCGUGCUGCUUACGUACGGGUCAUGUGAAAUGCUGCUACCGUAAGGACUCCAUAGCUAUUGGAAGCCAAACACCGACUCAUUUCAGUCGGAUUUGAAUAUUUAUUUUGAAAAUUCGGUUACCAAUAGGUUUGAGUAUAUAAAACCGUUUGAUAUUCAAUUUUUAGUUCAAUUAUCACAUAUAAUUAACCGAUUUUGCUUUUAAGCCUAAGAUAGCUUAUUUGGUUUGUAUUAACUGAACACAAACCAUUUAAUUCUUUUAGAUUGAUUAUUA